rnacentral:tRNA from 1 species
GGGUCUGUGGUUUAGUGGUAUAAUACUCCCUUAGCAUGGGAGUGGUCCGGGGUUCGGUGAGUAAAUCCACUAUCAAACUAAAUCAGCAUCAAGCUAAUCAACUCAAUAGAUUCCCCGCGGAUCCA